UGUUGCUGCCGCUGCUGCAGGUGAUAACCAGAAGAAUUACUACCUGACACUAGUCAGUCCACUUAUCGACGAUUCCUCGAAGACCUGCCACUGCUGCUGCUUGCUGCAUAUCGUAGCGCGUCGCGCUCAUCCAUUUACGCGUCCCCAUUAGCGAGGCACACCGUCCGUGCAGGACGACAACGAGGAAGCUUCGAUCGAUUCAACCGAUGUCGCCAAGUCGGAAAGCGAUAAUGAUGCCGAAACAGAAGACGUGAAGAUUCCUCCGGAAGAAACGAAGCCCACUGAAACAG